AUUGAACGCUGGCGGCAGGCCUAACACAUGCAAGUCGAGCGGUAGCACAGAGAGCUUGCUCUCGGGUGACGAGCGGCGGACGGGUGAGUAAUGUCUGGGAAACUGCCUGAUGGAGGGGGAUAACUACUGGAAACGGUAGCUAAUACCGCAUAAUGUCGCAAGACCAAAGUGGGGGACCUUCGGGCCUCAUGCCAUCAGAUGUGCCCAGAUGGGAUUAGCUAGUAGGUGGGGUAACGGCUCACCUAGGCGACGAUCCCUAGCUGGUCUGAGAGGAUGACCAGCCACACUGGAACUGAGACACGGUCCAGACUCCUACGGGAGGCAGCAGUGGGGAAUAUUGCACAAUGGGCGCAAGCCUGAUGCAGCCAUGCCGCGUGUGUGAAGAAGGCCUUCGGGUUGUAAAGCACUUUCAGCGGGGAGGAAGGCGGUGAGGUUAAUAACCUCAUCGAUUGACGUUACCCGCAGAAGAAGCACCGGCUAACUCCGUGCCAGCAGCCGCGGUAAUACGGAGGGUGCAAGCGUUAAUCGGAAUUACUGGGCGUAAAGCGCACGCAGGCGGUCUGUCAAGUCGGAUGUGAAAUCCCCGGGCUCAACCUGGGAACUGCAUUCGAAACUGGCAGGCUAGAGUCUUGUAGAGGGGGGUAGAAUUCCAGGUGUAGCGGUGAAAUGCGUAGAGAUCUGGAGGAAUACCGGUGGCGAAGGCGGCCCCCUGGACAAAGACUGACGCUCAGGUGCGAAAGCGUGGGGAGCAAACAGGAUUAGAUACCCUGGUAGUCCACGCCGUAAACGAUGUCGAUUUGGAGGUUGUGCCCUUGAGGCGUGGCUUCCGGAGCUAACGCGUUAAAUCGACCGCCUGGGGAGUACGGCCGCAAGGUUAAAACUCAAAUGAAUUGACGGGGGCCCGCACAAGCGGUGGAGCAUGUGGCUUAAUUCGAUGCAACGCGAAGAACCUUACCUGGUCUUGACAUCCACAGAACUUUCCAGAGAUGGAUUGGUGCCUUCGGGAACUGUGAGACAGGUGCUGCAUGGCUGUCGUCAGCUCGUGUUGUGAAAUGUUGGGUUAAGUCCCGCAACGAGCGCAACCCUUAUCCUUUGUUGCCAGCGGUUCGGCCGGGAACUCAAAGGAGACUGCCAGUGAUAAACUGGAGGAAGGUGGGGAUGACGUCAAGUCAUCAUGGCCCUUACGACCAGGGCUACACACGUGCUACAAUGGCAUAUACAAAGAGAAGCGACCUCGCGAGAGCAAGCGGACCUCAUAAAGUAUGUCGUAGUCCGGAUUGGAGUCUGCAACUCGACUCCAUGAAGUCGGAAUCGCUAGUAAUCGUAGAUCAGAAUGCUACGGUGAAUACGUUCCCGGGCCUUGUACACACCGCCCGUCACACCAUGGGAGUGGGUUGCAAAAGAAGUAGGUAGCUUAACCUUCGGGAGGGCGCUUACCACUUUGUGAUUCAUGACUGGGGUG
rnacentral:rRNA from 1 species